rnacentral:lncRNA from 1 species
UGAAGUUGGGUUGAUUAAGUUUUGAUGUAAUUAUGUGUUCAUAAUUGAUUUAAUGAAUAUUCGAAGUGUUGAUUCAUUCAGAGCUAUUUUAGAACUGAAAAUUUGCAUUUUCUUUGUUGUAUUCAGCUACGACAGUGCAAUUUGUUAAAACUUUAUUUUUCAACAUUGUUUAUGCAUUUUUGGACAUAUGAAAACCCUUUCAAGGAGUAUGCUAAGACGAAAGGUUCUUUUGAGCAUUUGAAAAUUAUUGUGGAAAUUUGGGCUUUGCCCUUAGAUGAUACCCGAGUUCAUUCCACCGACUGUUACCUUGACGACGGAGACGUCGUUAGACUUC